rnacentral:rRNA from 1 species
GACGUAGGGCGCGAGCGUUGUCCGGAAUUAUUGGGCGUAAAGAGCUCGUAGGCGGCUUGUCGCGUCGGCUGUGAAAUCCCGUGGCUCAACUGCGGGUCUGCAGCCGAUACGGGCAGGCUAGAGUUCGGUAGGGGAGACUGGAAUUCCUGGUGUAGCGGUGAAAUGCGCAGAUAUCAGGAAGAACACCCGUGGCGAAGGCGGCUCUCUGGGACGGUACUGACGCUGAGACGCGAAAGCGUGGGGAGCGAACAGG